UACAGAGGUGGCAAGCGUUGUUCGGAAUUACUGGGCGUAAAGGGCGCGUAGGCGGCCUUCUAAGUCAGACGUGAAAUCCCCCGGCUUAACCUGGGAACUGCGUCUGAUACUGGAAGGCUUGAGUGCGGGAGAGGGAUGUGGAAUUCCAGGUGUAGCGGUAAAAUGCGUAGAGAUCGGGAAGAACAUCAGUGGCGAAGGCGGCCUGCUGGGCUGUUGCUGACGCUGAGGCGCGACAGCGUGGGGAGCAAACAGG
rnacentral:rRNA from 1 species